GGAAAGGGCUGGGUGAUGAGGCUGGAGAAGCUUCUUCCUGGUGGGAGGUGUGGGAGGGGCCAACGGCCCAGGCAGCCAGGGAGGAGCUCGAAGGUGCACGCAGACUCUGGACACCAGGUUAACAGAAACAGGCUCCCUCCAUGAUGGACAGGGCUUGGGGCUGCCCAGACUCGAGUCUUGAGAGCUGGCGGAGGCAGGGACUGUGAGCCUGCUCUGGGCUGGCAGGGGUUGGGGCUUCAGGAGUGUCUCUGCACGCAUUGGGUGGGUCGUCUGUUGGCCUUGCGAGUCUUUGAUCAUCUUGCCAGUGCCCAUAUUGCCCGUGUCUUGCAACAUGUUGGUCAGAUUCUCGCUGAUAAUUCGACCUCCCCAACACACACACCCUAUCCAAGUUGAAAGUGCCCCUGGGGGUGCGCUGCCCAGAAUCAGCUGACCUCAGAGUUCUUGGUGCCAGCGUAGACUCGGGAGAUAACUGCGCAGAUCUACUCCAUUUAGAAUGGGACAGGUUUUUUUUUCAGACCAAGGUCUGGCAGCUGCAUACGUGGAGGUCCAUUUGGAGGUUUUAGCACCCGGGAGAGAGGCCACCCCUCUCUUCCUCCUUGUCCUCUGACCUGGCCUCUGCCUGUCAUGGCUGUUCCCAUUUCCCAGUGAGUGGGAGUGUUUGCCUUAACCUGUCGGGGCCUAUCUCCAUGUGGGCCUGUCUCUUGGUCUCACCUGCUGGGGUCCAGAGAGUCUCCAGGUGAGCUGGGUUCUGGACAGCUCAGGACUUCUGAGUCCUGGGGACACAGUGCUGAUGAGCCUAGAAGCACAAGGGCCCUCAGAUCCUGGGCUUUGGGAUACCUGGGGCUCUGCCCAUCCUGGGUUUGGGGUCUCCGAGCUAGGUCGGGACGAGGCUGGUGUGUGGGCACAGAGGCUGGUGGCCACUCACCUAUCCUCCUGUGCUUGUGACACUUGAUGGGCAUCACUGCUUCCUGGGGGUCUCCCGCCCCUAUCCGAACCUCAAGCCCUCUCUUUCCUGUGUUUUAAUGUCCCCUGAAGCAUCCUGGUCCCACUGUGUGGGCCUCUCUUUGGACGAAUCUGGAGGCCUGUCCGCCUCCCUGUGGGUGCGUCUCUCCGGCUCUCACUGGGCCUCCUUCCAUGUAGAUCUCUCUCGCCUGGGUAUCUCCCUUGUGCAUCUUUCUCUGUGGUUUCUCAUCCUGUGUCUGUUUAUUCGUGUCUUCAUCCCUUUCCCUGGUUAAGACUGGUUGGCCUCAGAGUCAGAGAUCCCUGGGCUUGCAUUUCACUUCUGUCUCAUCCUCGGGCAAGUCAUUUAACCUCAGGGCCUGUUUCUGCACUCUAAAAUAAGGAUAUUAAUUCUUAAUCACAUGGGAUUGUUUGGGAAAGAAAGGGGACCCCAGGCAUGGAACAAGCACAGUCCUGGGGCGCUAUGGGAGCUUGACAAAAUUCUUUCUCUUCACCUGGGAGGGGUUGUUUCUUUUAAUGUGGCUCUUUCUCUUCCUCUUUACUGCCCGGUGAGUGUUCACGAGAGUGGAUGGCCCUCUGGGUGUGUCUCUCUUUUCUCUGAAUAUCCCAGCCCCUGCUCCUUGACUCUGUGUGUGUUCGUGGCUUUCUGGCUGGUGGAAGUCUCAGCUCUGGUUGUGAGUCAUCUUGUUCUCACCUUGGGGUACUGCUUCUCCGGGGCCGGUGUGUCUGGUGGGUCAGUUUGCCUGUGUGCUGGGUAGAAGUUUUGUCGCUGUCUGUGUCCUCCCCAUUGCGGGCUGGCGUGCUUCUUUCCGUCUUAGCAUGUCACCUUCGACGUCCUGCCUGUGGCGGGCAUAUGCGCAAACUCGGGUCCCUCUGCUGUGUAUUUGACUUCAGGUGUGGCGCGUGGAGGCGCUGAGGCGUACGGACCCGACUCUCAGGGGGUGUGUGUGUGUGUAUCAGUUCCUGUCAUCUUGACACUGACCUUGGCUGCGAGGUUGUCUUUGGCUGCUGCAGCAGUUCCACUGCGCCCCCUCCCUGGCUGUGUUCACACUGGCUCUUGCGCAGAAGGGAUUUCCUGGGACCAGUGGGAGAACAUGCCCUUCUAGGGGGUCACAGCUGGCGGGGACCAUCUUCCCCGGGCAAAGGGUCUGCUUCCUGGCCUUCUCCUGGGUCUGCCUGGGUGUUGCCCACCCAGGGCAGAGAUCUGCAGAGAUGGCAUGGGCAGAACCCUGCUGCACAUCCUCUUUGUGGUUUUGAAUCAUCAGGGCAGCUUCGUUCUUCUCUAGCUGCUUCUGGCCUGAAUUACUUGCACUCUGUCCCUGCAGCCUCAGGUGUGUGUCCUCUCUGCCUUGAAGCUGGAGUGUCCCUGCCACGUCGCUCCUUUUAUGCCCUCCAGGCAGCCCUCUGCCUUAGAGGGUCUCCACUCCAGCCCUUCCCACCAGGAAGGUUGCUGUGAGCUGGUGUCAGGUGCCGGCGGGGAGCUGGCUGACCUGGGCAUUCCAGGGCCCCAGCAUUCCCCCGUUCUCAGGGCUCCAGACCUCCCUCUCCCCAUCUGUCACUAGCAGGCAGUGCCGCCCCACAGAACUUUCUGCAGUGGUGGCAGUGUUCUGUAUUUGCGCUUGUAAUGUGGUAGCCAUGCGUGGCUGUUGAGCUCGUGAAAUGUAGUUCCUACAACCUACGGGCUAAAUGUUUAAUUGAAUUUAAGUUAGGGCUUCCCUGGUGGCUCAGAUGGUAAAGAACCUGCCUGCAAUGCAGGGGGAACCCAGGUUCAAUCCUUGGGUGGGGAGGAGCCCCUGGAGAAGGGAAUGGCAGCCCAUUCCAGUAUUCUUGCCUGGAGAAUCCCACGGAUAGAGGAGCCACAUGUGGCCUAAGGGCUCUUCCAGCUCUGACACUUGAGGAAUGUGUAGAAUUCCCCGAGGCUCCAAAGACUCAGCUUUGGGUGGCAGCAGGGUGGAGCCCCUAACCCCCGGGGAAGCUGGCUUCACCUGACAUGUGGGAGAAGAAGGAAGGACCCCCUGGGUUUGGUACAGGCCCCAGGGGUGGGGGAGACCACAGGCUGGGAUCCAAGUGCAGAAAAUAGGCCCUUGCCACUGUGGCCUCGAAUUCCCUGUCAGCACCCUUGUGUCUCGCCAGGUCAGAUGGAAGGGGCGGGGAGGGGAGUCUUGCCUGGCUGUGCCAGGAGGUGAGGCUUGAGCCAGGGCAGGCAGGGUGGUUGGCAGCCCCACCUGGCUGGGAAGCCAGCGGGUCCCCCGCCAGGGUCAACCUGCAGCCUCGAGUCCAGCGCCUCCUGUUCUCACGGGCUGUGGUCCCUUCUCCACUCAUGAUGGGCUCCGGGCCGGCGGCUCUGGGCCAAGCAGCUGGCGGGGAAGCCCAUUGCCUCUUCCUGGAGCCCCAGCCCCUCUGGCACCCAGGGGUCUGGCCUAUGAAGCGGGUUUUAGGUGUGACCCUUGGCGUGUCUGGAGCUGUUGCAGCCACAGUGACUCACUGG
ensembl:lncRNA